UACGGAGGGUGCAAGCGUUGUUCGGAAUUACUGGGCGUAAAGCGCGUGUAGGUGGCUGCGUAAGUCGGUUGUGAAAGCCCCAGGCUCAACCUGGGAAUUGCAUCCGAAACUGCGUGGCUAGAGUCCCGGAGAGGAAGGCAGAAUUCCGAGUGUAGGGGUGAAAUCCGUAGAUAUUCGGAGGAAUACCAGUGGCGAAGGCGGCCUUCUAGACGGUGACUGACACUGAGACGCGAAAGCGUGGGGAGCAAACAGGAUUAGAUACCCCCGUA
rnacentral:rRNA from 1 species